AUUGAACGCUAGCGGCAUGCUUUACACAUGCAAGUCGAACGAGUGGCGGACGGGUGAGUAAUAUAUCGGAACGUGCCCAGUAGAGGGGGAUAACUGAUCGAAAGGACAGCUAAUACCGCAUAAUAUUCGAGCGGCCGAUAUCGGAUUAGCUGGUUGGCGGGGUAAAGGCUCACCAAGGCAACGAUCAGUAGCGGGUCUGAGAGGAUGACCAGCCACACUGGGACUGAGACACGGCCCAGACUCCUACGGGAGGCAGCAGUGGGGAAUUUUGGACAAUGGGCGCAAGCCUGAUCCAGCCAUGCCGCGUGUCUGAAGAAGGCCUUCGGGUUGUAAAGGACUUUUGUCAGGGAAGCGGUACCUGCAGAAUAAGCACCGGCUAACUACGUGCCAGCAGCCGCGGUAAUUC
rnacentral:rRNA from 1 species